AUUGAACGCUGGCGGCAUGCCUUACACAUGCAAGUCGAACGGUAACGGGCCUUCGGGUGCCGACGAGUGGCGAACGGGUGAGUAAUGCAUCGGAACGUACCUUUCAGUGGGGGAUAACGUAGCGAAAGUUACGCUAAUACCGCAUAUUCUGUGAGCAGGAAAGCAGGGGAUCGCAAGACCUAGCGCUGAUUGAGCGGCCGAUAUCAGAUUAGCUAGUUGGGGAGGUAAAGGCUCACCAAGGCGACGAUCAGUAGCCGACCUGAGAGGGUGAUCGGCCACAUUGGAACUGAGAGACGGUCCAAACUCCCACGGGAGGAAGCAGUGGGGAAGAUUGGACAAUGGGCGCAAGCCUGAUCCAGCAAUGCCGCGUGGGGGAAGACGGCCUGAGGGUUGUAAAGCCCUUUAGGCGGGGAGGAACGGUCGGGUGCCAAUACCACCCGGCGCUGACGUUACCCGCAGAAUAAGCACCGGCUAACUCCGUGCCAGCAGCCGCCGUAAAAC
rnacentral:rRNA from 1 species